GAGCGUCAUUAAACACCAUCAAGCUUUGCUUGAAAUUGGGCCAUGCCUGUAAAAUAAGCUGGCUUUAAAAUCAGUGGCAAUGUCAUCCGACUCUAAGCGUAGUAAUUAUUCUCGCUAUUGUGUCAGGGUGAUCUCUCGCCAGUAACCCCCUAUUUUCAAUGUUUGACCUCGGAUCGUGUAGGAAUACCCGCUGAACUUAA
rnacentral:misc_RNA from 1 species